AGAUGAUUGGGUAAAAUUCUGUUCCUGUAGACUGGGCUCCAGACAUGGUGGAGUAACUGGAUUGGCAAGUUCUUCAUAAGAAGACUUCCCCUUUGCCUUCAAAACCUCUCUUCUGAUAUAGACCAUGGACAGAAAAACCUCUCUUCUCUGCAAGCUUAUGCUAUCCUUAGUAAUGGAAGAGGACAUCACACUUUUGAUGACUGCACUAGUAGCAACUCACCUAUAACAGCUUCACCAAUGCAGAAGGCAGACAGAUACACAGAGAAAGCUGUGGAAAGGUUUAAAAGGUUUAAGAGCAAUACAGCGCCCCCGCUCCGCCGAAGCCCCCCAGAAACCCUCCAGCAGCUGCGGAGCUCCCCGCCGACCCCCAGCAUAGCCGGAGGUUUUUCCAAGUUCAGCAGCGGAGGAUAAAGGAGCUAUCAAUUUUUCGGGGAUAACUUUAGUUUCCAUCAGUCCAGAAUGCCUGAAUACAAAUUUCCUGAAACCUGGUUCACCAAAGGUUCAACUUAGAUACAAAAUUAUUUUGUAAAAUAUGUCUGAAGAACAGUUAUUUUGCUAGGUUUAAAAAUGCAAAUCUUCGAAGUUUCUAUAUUUAAAAUUAAGAACUUACAUAGAUUGGUUUAUGGAUUGUGGGGGAAGCAAACAAGAUGUGAGGGUUUUUUUAAAAACAAAACCAUAAACAUGAAAUAUCAUACAAAGGAGGAACUAUGUAACAAUUACAAUUUAAAAAAAAUAUAGUGUAUUUCUUUGGAAGCUACGCUAAUGUACACUAGUUUCAAAGAAAAACACCUAAACAAAUAUUGUCCUUAGGUACGGAGAUGAUUAUUACCACCCUGAUUCUGCAGGUAUUACUCAUGCACUUCAAGUCAAAUAUUUAAAAGUUUGCAAGAGCAGGGAACAACUUGCCUCAUGAUCCAAACCCUUGUCAUCAGACAACAGAUGUUAGAAAGGUUUCGUUUUUUAAAAUUAAUAUCCCAGCUUUUGUCAAAUCUUAGAACAUUUCUUUUUUCAAUAUAAUGCUUUGUAUGGUAUGCUGUUUACCUAUUUUGUUUUCAUGCUUAUGGGGAAAAUUUGUAGAUACUGAUUUCAUUUAGCUGAUAAUUAAUGAAUUGCCUAAACUUUAAGAAUGGUAACUUGUAACAGACUAACAAUAUAGUGAGGCAUAGACUUCUUCACACACAGAUGUAGUCAUUUUCUCAUUAGAUAACAACAACACCAAAUUACAGCAUCAGAACCAUAAUCAAGGCCAUAAUCAUCAUCUCUACCCAAGCAUAAUAUUUGUUUAGUACAUGAAUUUAUGACAAAAUGUAUUCCUUCGAAGCUAGUACCAUCUUUUAUAGUGAGUUAGACUUUUUUCCUCUAAAUAAUCAGAAUUUUAAAUCAGCUAAAAAAUGUGGGUAAAAACAGACAUUAUUCAUAAUGUUCCUUAUGAUCACUGGAUUAAAUUUGAAGUUUAAUGUUGUCUUUGUCAAGAACACUAAUAAAACCAUAUAAAUCAAAUGUGACAUUUCCAGAUGGACAGAGGCAUUUGUUCCAGUAAUGAGAUAAUGCUGCACCUGUCUGCAGGCUGGGUUAGUUCUGGGCAGAUCAGCAGUGAAUUCCUUGUCUUUCUUCAACAGUUCUUUUGGACUAAAUAGGUUGUAUUCCUAGCUGCUGUUCCUUGUAGUUAAGAUUCUUAAAAUCUCAGCAUCUCACAAAAACAACAUAAAUGGUGCUGCUGAAAUCUUCAAAAAGGAGGAAAUAUUCAGUGUUUUAGCUAAAACUUCGAGUACCUUUCUUGUGUUGGGCAUGAAUAAAUAUUAUUAAGUGCAUGGUUUGGGAAAUCAUUCAAUGCAAGGAGAUGCCAUCUUCACGCCACAAUUUUUUUGAUGGAAAACAUUUAGCUCUGUUUUUAUUGAUUUUUUUUUUUGUUUUGUUUUAAUUACAAAAUAUGAUUGAAUUGGAAAUCAUGUUUUGGGGGGGAGGUUGGAGAGGUUUUGGGGUUUGUUUGGUUUCUUGUUACUUUUGCUUCUCGUCACAAGUAACCCUUCAGCUCGUUGUAAAUUUUAAAACGUUACAGAGUUGUUUGUAUGGCUGUCAACUUACUUGCUUCAAUAUGUCUGGUUUUUUUCAUUGUCUUUGUAAGGAGUUAAUUCAUGCUGGCUGUGUGGAUUAUUUUGCACAGCAGUAAGAAAGACAAAUGAAAAAAAACAGAUGAUUGAAAGUUAAAAAAAAUAAAUAAAAAAUCCCCAAGUAACUAGUGCUGGGGUUGUAGAGCUGUGUAUCUUUUACACUGUUAAUGGAUUGUAGAAAAACUAUGAUGAUAACUAGCUUCUGAAAUGGCUUUUAACUUUUUUUUAUAUAUGUAUACUGUAUCCUAACCCUCUUCAUUUGAAUUAUAUUCUAAGUUUUAUUUGAAUGUAUAUUGAGAGUUUGUGUGUGAUCAUAAAGGGUGGGAUUCUCUAUUUUGGCAGGUAAUUGAAGUUAUCUAGUAGUUGAAUGUAGAGUUAUGAGUCUUUUAAAUUUACCAUGGUAUAUACAAGUGGUCCUCAUGGUUCUGGCCCCACAGGACAGGUGAAUGGCGUGGGGUUAGUCUGCAGGCUAGAUUGGAUCCUGCAUGUCAGGUUUGGACUCUGGGGGCCCCUCACUACCCCUGUGUGCUGGGAUCAGGCUCCGGGGCCCCAUGCCACCCCCACCUGGCCCCCAUGUGCUGGGAUCAGGCCCUGCAUGCCCAACCUAGUGCAUAGGGCCAUGGUCUGUACACAUCUGUGGGGAGCCCUGCAGGCUGGAUGACAAAGUGCUGGGGACCAGUUCUGGCUCAUGGCCUGCAGGCUGAGCACUUCUGAUAUAUGUGAUAAAGCUUCAUGUAUUUAAUUUAGACCAGGGUGUCAAAGAUCUGCUCUGUGGGCUGAAUCCUGCCCACAGAGCCAUAUCAUCCUGAGUGCCCUGUAGGCAGGGUGCAGGAUAUGCUGGAUGGCCCAUGGAGCAGUGUCCACAGAGCAGUGGAGCAGCCACAAUGUGUAGCACAGCUGUGGAGUAGCCAUGUGAAGCUCCGCAGCUUGAUGGUACCGCCCCAGUGGCAUCUCCGGGACCAUGAGGAACAUUCCACAGUGGCUGGAGCAGGACCAGAAUGUAGAGCGAGUCUGUGAGUUAGCCACCCCUGCUCUAAAUAUUCUCCGUGUUAAAGAUGCAUUUCAUUGGCAAGAUUGACACUCUGUUUUGCUUUGUUUAAUAAAAAGGCCUAAAACCAACCAUCUAUUGUUGUAGACUUCUGUGAACUAAACUCUAUUUUGGAAUUUUGGGAAGACUAGUGAAAGUCUGAUGCACU